rnacentral:misc_RNA from 1 species
AUUCAAGUCACUUGGCAUCGGUUGCUUUAGUAGUAUGUAUGGACUUCUAUAUUUCUACGGAAUGCCUUUGUUCAAUUUGUCAAGUAUCUGCUUUCUAAAAAAAAUUAAAGCUGGACAAAGCCCUUUAAGUUGCAGUCAACUGAUAUAUUCAUGAAGAUGCUGUUAUUGUUUCCUAUUUUGACUGAUUGACUUCCUAUUUGUUUUUCUUUGCUAGGUUUUGCAUUUUCUUCAAUAUGAUGUAGCUUCCCGGAAAUUUAUCACAGAUGGUUUUUACUAUUAGUAUUUAGCCUUUUUUUGGUACUUGUAAAUAGAUAGUUAUAUCUGUAGAUAAAAUGGAACCAAAGGGGGUUG